GCUAGCUCAGUUGGUUAGAGCAGCUGACUCUUAAUCAGCGGGUCCGGGGUUCGAGUCCCUGGCGGCGCACCA
rnacentral:tRNA from 1 species